rnacentral:tRNA from 1 species
GGGGAUUUAGCUCAGUAGAAGAGCGCUUGCCUGAUAAGUAAGUGCAAGGCCCUGACUUUAUUCCUCA